rnacentral:rRNA from 1 species
UACGGAGGGUGCAAGCGUUACUCGGAAUUACUGGGCGUAAAGGGCGCGUAGGCGGUUCGAUUAGUCAGAUGUGAAAGCCUGGGGCUUAACCCUGGAAGUGCAUUUGAAACUGUCGAACUUGAGUAUGGGAGAGGGAAGUGGAAUUCCUGGUGUAGAGGUGAAAUUCGUAGAUAUCAGGAGGAACACCGGUGGCGAAGGCGACUUCCUGGACCAAUACUGACGCUGAGGCGCGAAGGCGUGGGUAGCAAACAGG